GCAAUGACUGCACCAUCAAGUGGCCCAUGCGACACCAAGCCAAAGCCUGUUACGAGCGGAACCCAGCAGAACGCAGCCCUCCUUCCGCCCAACCGACCGAGGGGCGCUGCCGCAUGACGCGCGGCGCGAUUAACCGAACCGGUCGCGAGCAUGCAGGAAAGAUAGAUGUUAGGCUAAUAUUCGAGGAAAAUUAGAACUAAACACAACUAAACCAGGGCAAGUAUAGCUAAGCAAGCAAAACUAUUAAAGUCAGAAACAAGACAAAGCUAAAAUGAAACUAACUACGUGAGAGGUAGGCUGGUAUAACAGAUUUAAGAAGAGGAAGAGAGUUAGUUGAGGAUAUAAUGUGGUAGAGAGAAUUAUAAUCCGAGCAUAAAACCCUAAAGGGUUCGUGUGAGGCAUAAUUCGAUCUACAUAGUGGAAGGAACAAAGGAAUAAAGUUUCUAGUGGGUCUAAUGGGAAUCGUAAAGUUUAAGCGGCUCAACACGUCAGGGCUGUCUACAUCCCCCUGGAUCAAGUUGUGCAUAAAAAUUACACCAAGCAUUUUUCUACGACUAAAUAAGGAUAGAAGAUUUAUUAAAAGAAGUCUACUACGUUAGGAUGGCAGUAUCACAGUUGCAUCCCAGUUGAGGCUCCGUAGAGAAAAUAAUAAAAAGUUUUUCUGUACUGAUUCAAUACGGUCCUGAUAUAUGUUGUACUGAGGGCACCAUACACAUGAGCCGUAUUCUAAAAUCGGACGAACAAGCUAGAUAUAGAGAGUCUGCGUUAUAUAGGGGUCAUAAAAUUCCUUUGACCACCUCUUUAUAAACCCAAGCACACCCAUGGCUUUAUUUACCAUGGUUGAAAUGUGUUCAGAAAACUUUAACUUAGGGUCUAGUUUAACACCUAGAUCAUCAACCAAUGUAAUUCUCUCAAGAGAACUACCGCAGAGGGUGUAAGGAGCCAGGAAGGGGCUGGAGCGAUAAAAAGUCAUUACAUUGCACUUCGAGGCAUUAAGUUGUAACAUACUUGCACAGCACCAUGACUGAAAGCUAUUGAGAUCAGAUUGCAAGCGAGAGUCAAAUAAAAUGUCCUUAUACUGGACACAGAGCUUAACAUCAUCCGCAUACAUAAGUACUCAAGAAUUUGUUAAUACAGAAGGCCAUUAAUAAAGAGUGUGAAAAGUAAGGGGCCUAAAUGGUUACCCUGUGGUACUCCAGUAACCAUAACAGGUAAAGAUAAGGAGUUUUUGAAAAGGGCCCUUUGAGACCUAGAACACAGGUAGAUGGAAAUCCAUCUCAACAGAUUGGGCGGAAACCCUAGAAGGUCGAGCUUUUGUGCAAGAAGAGAAUGGUUUACAGAAUCGAAUGCCUUACUGAAGUCAGUGUAAAUAACAUCCGUCUGCAAGUUACCUUGGAAACCUUUAAUGACAAGGGAGGUGAACUCUAAAAGAUUAGUAGUUGUUGAUCGUCGCCGUAUAAAUCCG
rnacentral:lncRNA from 1 species